rnacentral:rRNA from 1 species
GAUGAACGCUGGCGGCGUGCUUAACACAUGCAAGUCGAACGAAGCACCUGUAUGGAUCCUUCGGGUGAAGUGCUUGUGACUGAGUGGCGGACGGGUGAGUAACGCGUGGGUAACCUGCCUUACACAGGGGGAUAACAGUUAGAAAUGGCUGCUAAUACCGCAUAACCCGCUAGUACCGCAUGGUACAGACGGAAAGAUUUAUCGGUGUAAGAUGGACCCGCGUCUGAUUAGCUAGUUGGUAGGGUAACGGCCUACCAAGGCGACGAUCAGUAGCCGGCUUGAGAGAGUGGACGGCCACAUUGGGACUGAGACACGGCCCAA